GUUGGAUUGGCCAGCCACCUCGAUAGAGCCGAUAAACUUCUCACUGGGCAGCGAGUGAGGAUCAAGACGACCGUGAAGCAGCCGAGAUUCGGAUGGUCGGGUCAUAGCCAUGCCAGUCUUGGAACUAUCGCAUCCAUCGACGCAGAUGGAAAGGUGAGGAUAUACUCACCAGCUGGAUCCAAGGUGUGGAUGAUGGACCCUGCUGAGGUGGAUCGUGUCGAGGAAG
rnacentral:misc_RNA from 1 species